UACGUAGGGGGCUAGCGUUGUCCGGAAUUACUGGGCGUAAAGAGCUCGUAGGUGGUUUGUCGCGUUGUUCGUGAAAACUCACAGCUCAACUGUGGGCGUGCGGGCGAUACGGGCAGACUUGAGUACUGCAGGGGAGACUGGAAUUCCUGGUGUAGCGGUGGAAUGCGCAGAUAUCAGGAGGAACACCGGUGGCGAAGGCGGGUCUCUGGGCAGUAACUGACGCUGAGGAGCGAAAGUGUGGGGAGCGAACAGG
rnacentral:rRNA from 1 species